CACUGAGUGUCCACAAGACGCCGCCACCACGAUGAUGAUGUCACUGAGUCCACUGCUGCUCACCCUGGGCCUCCUUGUUCACGGGUCAUCAGGAGACAUCGUCCUGACUCAGACUCCUGGAUCUCAGUCUGUUGCUCCAGGACAGACUGUCUCCAUCACUUGUAGAACAGGCACAAGUGUUGGCACCAGCCUCCACUGGUAUCUCCAGAAACCUGCUGGAGCUCCUAAACUCCUGAUUCGCUACUCUACAACCCGUCAGUCUGGAGUUCCAGAUCGUUUCAGUGGACAAGGAUCAGGGACACAGUUCACUCUGACCAUCAGCAGAGUCCAGCCUGAAGAUGCAGGCGUUUAUUAUUGUCAGCAGUCUAGCAGUUACCCGUUCACACAGUGAAACAAGGUCGUACAAAAACCUCUGUCAGCUGAAGAGGAACUGAUCUGACUCCACUGCUGCUCACAAGUGGAGACACUUGACAGGUCACAUCAGUCAUUCAUGUCAUGAAGAAAACAUUCCUGUGUGACUGAAUGAAUGAAUGAAUAUUCACUUCAU